rnacentral:rRNA from 1 species
CACUAUCGUUAACUGAAUACAUAGGUUAACGAGGCGAACCGGGGGAACUGAAACAUCUAAGUACCCCGAGGAAAAGAAAUCAACCGAGAUUCCCCCAGUAGCGGCGAGCGAACGGGGAGCAGCCCAGAGUCUGAAUCAGCUUGUGUGUUAGUGGAACGGUCUGGAAAGUCCGACGGUACAGGGUGAUAGUCCCGUACACCAAAAUGCACAGGUUGUGAACUCGAAGAGUAGGGCGGGACACGUGGUAUCCUGUCUGAAUAUGGGGGGACCAUCCUCCAAGGCUAAAUACUCCUGACUGACCGAUAGUGAACCAGUACCGUGAGGGAAAGGCGAAAAGAACCCCGGCGAGGGGAGUGAAAAAGAACCUGAAACCGUGUACGUACAAGCAGUGGGAGCACCUUCGGGUGUGACUGCGUACCUUUUGUAUAAUGGGUCAGCGACUUAUAUUCUGUAGCAAGGUUAACCGUAUAGGGGAGCCGCAGGGAAACCGAGUCUUAACUGGGCGUUAAGUUGCAGGGUAUAGACCCGAAACCCGGUGAUCUAGCCAUGGGCAGGUUGAAGGUUGGGUAACACUAACUGGAGGACCGAACCGACUAAUGUUGAAAAAUUAGCGGAUGACUUGUGGCUGGGGGUGAAAGGCCAAUCAAACCGGGAGAUAGCUGGUUCUCCCCGAAAGCUAUUUAGGUAGCGCCUCGUGAACUCAUCUUCGGGGGUAGAGCACUGUUUCGGCUAGGGGGUCAUCCCGACUUACCAACCCGAUGCAAACUACGAAUACCGAAGAAUGUUAUCACGGGAGACACACGGCGGGUGCUAACGUCCGUCGUGAAGAGGGAAACAACCCAGACCGCCAGCUAAGGUCCCAAAGUCAUGGUUAAGUGGGAAACGAUGUGGGAAGGCACAGACAGCCAGGAUGUUGGCUUAGAAGCAGCCAUCAUUUAAAGAAAGCGUAAUAGCUCACUGGUCGAGUCGGCCUGCGCGGAAGAUGUAACGGGGCUAAACCAUGCACCGAAGCUGCGGCAGCGACACUAUGUGUUGUUGGGUAGGGGAGCGUUCUGUAAGCCUGCGAAGGUGACCUGUGAGGGUUGCUGGAGGUAUCAGAAGUGCGAAUGCUGACAUAAGUAACGAUAAAGCGGGUGAAAAGCCCGCUCGCCGGAAGACCAAGGGUUCCUGUCCAACGUUAAUCGGGGCAGGGUGAGUCGACCCCUAAGGCGAGGCCGAAAGGCGUAGUCGAUGGGAAACAGGUUAAUAUUCCUGUACUUGGUGUUACUGCGAAGGGGGGACGGAGAAGGCUAUGUUAGCCGGGCGACGGUUGUCCCGGUUUAAGCAUGUAGGCUGAUUGUCCAGGCAAAUCCGGAUAAUCAAGGCUGAGGUGUGAUGACGAGGCACUACGGUGCUGAAGUAACAAAUGCCCUGCUUCCAGGAAAAGCCUCUAAGCAUCAGGUAACAUUAAAUCGUACCCCAAACCGACACAGGUGGUCAGGUAGAGAAUACCAAGGCGCUUGAGAGAACUCGGGUGAAGGAACUAGGCAAAAUGGUGCCGUAACUUCGGGAGAAGGCACGCUGGUGUGUAGGUGAAGUCCCUGCGGAUGGAGCUGAGACCAGUCGAAGAUACCAGCUGGCUGCAACUGUUUAUUAAAAACACAGCACUGUGCAAACACGAAAGUGGACGUAUACGGUGUGACGCCUGCCCGGUGCCGGAAGGUUAAUUGAUGGGGUUAUCCGUAAGGAGAAGCUCUUGAUCGAAGCCCCGGUAAACGGCGGCCGUAACUAUAACGGUCCUAAGGUAGCGAAAUUCCUUGUCGGGUAAGUUCCGACCUGCACGAAUGGCGUAAUGAUGGCCAGGCUGUCUCCACCCGAGACUCAGUGAAAUUGAACUCGCUGUGAAGAUGCAGUGUACCCGCGGCAAGACGGAAAGACCCCGUGAACCUUUACUAUAGCUUGACACUGAACAUUGAGCCUUGAUGUGUAGGAUAGGUGGGAGGCUUUGAAGCGUGGACGCCAGUCUGCGUGGAGCCAACCUUGAAAUACCACCCUUUAAUGUUUGAUGUUCUAACGUUGGCCCCUUACCGGGGUUGCGGACAGUGUCUGGUGGGUAGUUUGACUGGGGCGGUCUCCUCCCAAAGCGUAACGGAGGAGCACGAAGGUUAGCUAAUCCUGGUCGGACAUCAGGAGGUUAGUGCAAUGGCAUAAGCUAGCUUGACUGCGAGCGUGACGGCGCGAGCAGGUGCGAAAGCAGGUCAUAGUGAUCCGGUGGUUCUGAAUGGAAGGGCCAUCGCUCAACGGAUAAAAGGUACUCCGGGGAUAACAGGCUGAUACCGCCCAAGAGUUCAUAUCGACGGCGGUGUUUGGCACCUCGAUGUCGGCUCAUCACAUCCUGGGGCUGAAGUAGGUCCCAAGGGUAUGGCUGUUCGCCAUUUAAAGUGGUACGCGAGCUGGGUUUAGAACGUCGUGAGACAGUUCGGUCCCUAUCUGCCGUGGGCGCUGGAGAAUUGAGGGGGGCUGCUCCUAGUACGAGAGGACCGGAGUGGACGCAUCACUGGUGUUCGGGUUGUCAUGCCAAUGGCACUGCCCGGUAGCUAAAUGCGGAAGAGAUAAGUGCUGAAAGCAUCUAAGCACGAAACUUGCCCCGAGAUGAGUUCUCCCUGAGACUUUAAGUCUCCUGAAGGAACGUUGAAGACGACGACGUUGAUAGGCCGGGUGUGUAAGCGCAGCGAUGCGUUGAGCUAACCGGUACUAAUGAACCGUGAGGCUUAACCUU